ensembl:snRNA U4 U4 spliceosomal RNA
AGCUUUGCGCAGUGGCGGUAUCGUAGCCAAUGAGGUUUAUACAAGGCGCGAUUAUUGCUAAUUGAAAAGUUUUCCCAAUACCUCGCCGUGACGACUUGCAAUAUAGUCGACACUGGCAAUUUUUGACAGUCUCUACGGAGA